rnacentral:lncRNA from 1 species
CUAGAAUCUUUCAUGGAGGCCCCAUGAUUGAUACAGAGGACUGUCAUAUGAACCAGAGAGGGUAAUUGAAACCAAAGAAAGGCCUCUGGUGUGUAGCCAAAGGCAUGCCACCAGGGGUGAGAAGGAGCAGAUGUCUUGACAAACAGGGCAUGAGACCAGCUGUGCGUGGUCAGCCUCUGAUUUGGGCCCAAAAGGAAAAGAAAUUCAGAGGAGACAGUGACUCUCAGACUCUCCCUUGUUAAUGAGCAAGAGUUCCCUGGAUCCAAGAGGCCUUUGCCUUCUGGCUUGCAGCCUCACAUUUGCAAGGUGGCUGCUGCACAUCUAACCUUUAUAUCCACAUUCCAGGCAGGAAUAAUGGGAAAGAAUAAGAGUAAGUGACUUUCUCCUAGUGAGGCUUUGCUGUUUGUUCAGAAAGGCAUGUUUUCCUUAUCAUUGGUCAAAUGAGAAAGUUGAGAAAUUGAAAAAUUGAGCUUCUUAGCCUUUUUGACAAAGGAGGUCAAGGGCAUGGGGAAUUGUGGAUUGUGUAGGGGUAUGAAGUCCAUAGGGUCUGCCACAGUGUGUCACCCCAGAAAAACACACACAUACACAUAAACAGCUUUGCCAGGUAAUUCCAGGGAGUUUCUCUAAGUGGGGAGUGUGAGGUCAGCCACUCAGUAGGGCCAAACUGAAAGAGAGCAGCUCCCAUGGAUUCUCAGCUCGGCCCAAAGCCAGGGAGCUUUGAGAGAAGCAAUUUGUGGGGAGAAGAUAGAAGUCAAAAGAUACAGUGAAACUCUAUGAGUGGGAGGGUAGAGAAAGCAGAGUGGCAUUGAAGGGUAUAAGCACCAGACAUGGUACUAACAGUGAAAAAGACAUACAGUGGUGAAGAGAGGGGGAGAGAAUGAUACAGCAAUACCACAGUGGGGAAAAGAGAAACUCUUGUAAGCAUCUGAAGUUUAAGGGAGUAUGCUGCUCUAGAGGACCAGAAGUCAGCUCUCCAGUGGUGGUGGUGAUGGAGGACAUCAUUCAGUGAAAAGUUGGACCAAGUUCUAUGAACUGUGGAGUCACAAGACAUUCAUUGUGGUGUUCAGGGGUGUUCUCCAGAAGGUCUGGUGACUUGGACAUUUGAAGUCUGAUAGGGAACAGUCCAGCAAGAUAGAAGUCAGCUCUGCAGAAGGCUGAAACAUGGUGAUAAAUUAGAGUUUAUAAAU